GAAGUGCAGCCAGAGAGGACCCGCAACCAAUCAGUAAACAGAUCCUGUAACCCUUGUGACAUGCUGACCUGUGUUACAAAGAAUUUAUUCCCGCCUGUAACACAUGAACACGCCUCCCGGCUGCAGAAAAAUUUGAUUAUUGCGGCGAGCCACAUUUCACCGCUGCCUGGUGUGAUUUAGGUGUAAAUGU